rnacentral:tRNA from 1 species
CGGUGAAUAGCGCAGUUUGGACGACUAUCUGGUUUGGGACCAGAGGGUCGGGGGUUCGAAUCCCUCUUCACCGACCA